rnacentral:sRNA from 1 species
CUCCAGCUUCGUCGUCUUCUUCUUCUUCUUAC